CCUACGGGGAGCUGCAGUGGGGGAUAUUGCACAAUGGGGGAAACCCUGAUGCAGCGACGCCGCGUGGGUGAAGAAGCGCCUCGGCGCGUAAAGCCCUGUCAGCAGGGAAGAAAAUGACGGUACCUGAAGAAGAAGCCCCGGCUAACUACGUGCCAGCAGCCGCGGUAAUACGUAGGGGGCAAGCGUUAUCCGGAUUUACUGGGUGUAAAGGGGGCGCAGACGGCGAUGCAGGCCAGGAGUGAAAGCCCGGGGCCCAACCCCGGGACUGCUCUUGGAACUGCGUGGCUAGAGUGCAGGAGGGGCAGGCGGAAUUCCUGGUGUAGCGGUGAAAUGCGUAGAUAUCAGGAGGAACACCGGUGGCGAAGGCGGCCUGCUGGACUGCAACUGACGUUGAGGCUCGAAAGCGUGGGGAGCAAACAGGAUUAGAUACCCCAGUAGUC
rnacentral:rRNA from 1 species